AACGAACGCUGGCGGCGUGCCUAACACAUGCAAGUCGAGCGGGAAAGUUCCCUUCGGGGAGCGAGUACAGCGGCGAACGGGUGAGUAACACGUAGGUAACCUACCCUGGAGACUGGGAUAACCCGCCGAAAGGCGGGCUAAUACCAGACAAGACCACGAGGGCCGUGGCCCUUGAGGUAAAAGAUGGCCUCUGUUUACAAGCUAUCACUCCGGGAUGGGCCUGCGCGCCAUUAGCUAGUUGGUGGGGUAACGGCCCACCAAGGCAGAGAUGGCUAGCUGGUCUGGGAGGAUGGCCAGCCACACUGGGACUGAGACACGGCCCAGACUCCUACGGGAGGCAGCAGUGGGGAAUAUUGCGCAAUGGGCGAAAGCCUGACGCAGCGACGCCGCGUGGGUGAUGAAGGCCUUCGGGUCGUAAAGCCCUGUCAAGAGGGACGAAAUCUCGUCGACCUAAUAUGUCGGCGAUCUGACGGUACCUCUGAAGGAAGCACCGGCUAACUCCGUGCCAGCCGCCGCAGUAAAAC
rnacentral:rRNA from 1 species